UACGGAGGGUGCAAGCGUUGUCCGGAUUUAUUGGGUUUAAAGGGUGCGUAGGCGGCUCUUUAAGUCAGUGGUGAAAGCCGACAGCUCAACUGUCGAAAUGCCAUUGAUACUGGAGAGCUUGAGUACAGUAGAGGUAGGCGGAAUUGAUGGUGUAGCGGUGAAUUGCAUAGAUACCAUCAAGAACACCGAUUGCGAAGGAAGCUUACUAUAGUGUAACUGACGCUGAGGCACGAAAGUGUGGGGAUCAAACAGG
rnacentral:rRNA from 1 species